rnacentral:lncRNA from 1 species
AUCUGCCUACAAUGCAGGAGACCCAGGUUUGAUCCCUGGGUCGGGAAGACUCCCUGAAGGGAAUGGCUACCCACUCCAGUAUUCUCACUUGGAGAAUUCCAUGGACAGGGGAGCCUAGGGUCCAUGGGGUUGCAAAGAGAUGGACACGACUGAGCGACUAACGCUUUCACUUUCAUUUACAUACGUGUGCCAACCUCUGAAAGCAGAGCAUUGAGUAAACAUAAACCACAGUGGGGACGGUAAAUAAAAAUCAGUAUUAGCUAAAGUCUUUGCUAGGAUUAUGACUAUUGAAAAGAUCUGGGGGAAAAUCUAAACAACCAGAAUCAGGCUCUAUGACUCAGACAAAGAUUCUAUGUUUGAAUAGCAACCCCGAGGGGCUGGUAUCUUUAUCUGUUUUUUCUAUUCAUCUACCCAAAGGUCUAGGACAAUGCCUGACACAUUAUAGAUGCUCGGCACUUAUUUGCUGAAUGGACAAAUAAACCUUAAAACGCUAAAAUGAAAAAAAUCGGGGGAGAUAGCCUUAAAGAAUAUUGUGUUCAUCACAUUAGUUGGCCGGUUCACUUACUCUACAUCUUCUCAACUGAAGGCAGAGGUCAUCAACACUGUCCAACUGGGGUGCUACAUAAUGAUACCUGUGACUGUACAGUUUAAAGGAUAAAAGGAUGGAGAAUAAAAGGUUUUCUCUCUUCUCCCAUCUACAACCUUUUCUCCUUUUCCCUACAACCUCAAUACUUGGGUGAUAAAGUCAGAAGUCUGAAGAACAGCAGAACCAGAUUCACCUAUUUAAUGUGUGAUGCAUUAUUUAGUUAUAAGAAGGAAGAGAAAGUGCCAGCUUUCUCUCUUUUACAGUGUGUGCGAACAUAAAUCAAAUACAGGAAAGUUGUAAAGCCAUCGUGCAAUUUUUAAACUUUUAUAACUCUGGUGUCAGGGGUGUUAGAAAUCAUUUGUAAAUGGCAUGCAAAUCAAAUUUGCUUCCUCAAGUUGUUAAAACCUCAGUACUGCUAGUCCCAGCACCAUUUUUUUUAAAAAAAUCUCAUUGCCUAUAAUAGGUAUAUAAACAUUUGUCACAGGCAGGCAUUGAAACGAUG